CCACCCUUAGCUCAGUUGGUAGAGCUGCUCCCUUUUAAGGAGAAGGUCGCUGGUUCGAAUCCAGCAGGGUGGA
rnacentral:tRNA from 1 species